GAUGAAGAACGUAGCGAAAUGCGAUAAGUAUUGUGAAUUGCAGAAUCCAGUGAAUCAUCGAAUCUUUGAACGCACAUUGCGCCCGCCAGCACUCUGGCGGGCAUGCCUGUUCGAGCGUCAUUUCAACCAUCAAGCCCCAGGCUUGCGUUGGAGCCCUGCGGCUGCCGCAGCCUCCUAAAAGCAGUGGCGGGCUCGCUAUCACACCGAGUGCAGUAGAUUACUCUUCGCUCAGGGCGUGCAGCGGGUUCCGGCCGUGAAACCCCCUACUUUUAAAGGUUGACCUCGGAUCAGGUAGGAAUACCCGCUGAACUUAAGCAUAUCAAUAAGCGGAGGA
rnacentral:misc_RNA from 1 species